CCCAAAGACACCUAGAUAAAGCAUCAUCUUUAUUACUAAGCACUGCAAAAUGUUUUACCAAAAGAAAAACAGAGGAGUUGAUGCAAAUAACAAUGUUUUUCCUUCUCUAAAUGAGCCACACGAAGAAAUAAAGCUCCUUCUUUCUGGACUAAAAGAAAAAAAAAAUGGAAUUUGUCUUCCCUCUGAAAAGACCAUUCACACUUUGGCAUUAGAGAUGUGAAUAGGCCCUCAAGAAAAGAAUGGAUUCCAAUUCAGCAGUAAAAAGAGACCAUUUGCCAAUGGAGGAAAAAUUGUAUGACACUAUAUUAUUUCCAGGAUUGGACUGCCCCAGCAAUUAGAAGUGAGGAAAAACAACUGCCAUUGGUUUGCUUGGAUUUUUUUGCUGUUCAGAGAUAGCAGAACGGAGUAAAGAUAGAAAGAUAAAAACUGAUUCUCUGGGAUCAUCCAAAAAGUAGAGAUACUUUCCCCAGCACACUGGAGGGAGUGAAUGUAGCUGUUUCCUAAUCAGAUCCAUGGGUGUUUAAAUCUGAACAUCUCAGUUAAUCCAGUGACAUUCUUAACAUUAAAGGGUGUUAAAACGUAACAUUAAUAUUUAAUGUUAAGUGCAAGAGAGAGCAUGGCACAAUA
rnacentral:lncRNA from 9 species